AUUGAACGCUGGCGGCAUGCCUUGCACAUGCAAGUCGAACGGUAACAGGUCUUCGGAUGCUGACGAGUGGCGAACGGGUGAGUAAUACAUCGGAACGUGCCUAGUAGUGGGGGAUAACUACUCGAAAGAGUGGCUAAUACCGCAUGAGAUCUACGGAUGAAAGCAGGGGAUCGCAAGACCUUGUGCUACUAGAGCGGCCGAUGGCAGAUUAGGUAGUUGGUGGGAUAAAAGCUUACCAAGCCGACGAUCUGUAGCUGGUCUGAGAGGACGAUCAGCCACACUGGGACUGAGACACGGCCCAGACUCCUACGGGAGGCAGCAGUGGGGAAUUUUGGACAAUGGGCGAAAGCCUGAUCCAGCAAUGCCGCGUGCAGGAUGAAGGCCUUCGGGUUGUAAACUGCUUUUGUACGGAACGAAAAGGCCCGGGUUAAUACCCUGGGGUCAUGACGGUACCGUAAGAAUAAGCACCGGCUAACUACGUGCCAGCCGCCGCGGUAA
rnacentral:rRNA from 1 species